GCCGGUUUGGCUCAGUGGAUAGAGCGUCAGCCUGUGGACUGAAAGGUCCCGGGUUCGAGUCCCGUCAAGGGCA
rnacentral:tRNA from 1 species